GCGGAAUCUUCAGGCUGAACGGAGUUCCUUAGGAACAGAACCACCCAUCUCACUCCACCACGUGCUCCCAACGGUGUUCCUGACCAUGGUCCUCGGCAGCUCACUCCACCACGUGCUCCCCACUGUGCUCCCGACCAUGGUCCUCGGCAGCUCACUCCACCACGUGCUCCCCACUGUGCUCCCGACCAUGGUCCUCGGCAGCUCACUCCACCACGUGCUCCCAACUGUGCUCCAGACCAUGGUCCUCGGCAGCUCACUCCACCACGUGCUCCCCACUGUGCUCCCGACCAUGAUCCUCGGCAGCUCACUCCAUCACGUGCUCCCCACUGUGCUCCCCACCAUGGUCUUCUGCAGCUCACUCCACCACGUGUUCCCAACUGUGCUCCCCACCAUGGUCUUCUGCAGCUCACUCCACCACGUGCUCCCAACUGUGUUCCUGACCAUGGUCCUCGGCAGCUCACUCCACCACGUGCUCCCCACUGUGCUCCCGAACAUGAUCCUCGGCAGCUCACUCCAUCACGUGCUCCUCAGUGUGCUCCCCACCAUGGUCUUCUGCAGCUCACUCCACCGCGUGCUCCAUAGUGCUCCCGACCAUGGUCCUCGGCAGCUCACUCCACCACGUGCUCCCAACUGUGCUCCCCACCAUGGUCCUCUGCUGCUCACUCCACCAC
rnacentral:lncRNA from 1 species